rnacentral:lncRNA from 1 species
GGCCUAGCCCGGCCAACCCGCCUGUCCCGGACCGCCCGGCGUCAGGUACGGGUUCACCAAGCCACCCCGCCCACCUCAGGACGCAGCUGCCGGUCCAGCUGCUCCCGCGGGCCCACAGCGCGCUGUGGAAAGGAGCGGACAGGCCAGAGGCUCUCUCGGGCCUACAAGUCUCUAGGCUAGGCAGUGUUUCCGAGUCCCAGGUGCCUCCAGAGGCCGAGCUCACAGCGCGGCCCACCCAGCAUCCGGGGGCGCUGUGAGGGGCGCUCGCCCAGCAGCGGAAAGGCCAUUCGCGUGGCGCGGGAGCGCGGGCCCGGCCGCCUGGGCGUGUCCCUUUCGCGGAACUGAGCUCACUGGCUCCUCUCUUCCAGACGGAGCGACGGGGCCGGCCGCAGCCUCAGCCACGCGUCCCUCGGUGGCGGGCAGGCUCCUCUUGGCCUGCAGCCUUACUUUCAUGCCCUUCUUCACAGUGUACUCAUCAGCACGGCAUAAGGAAAGAGCAGACACGGCUCCUGCCCUCAUAAUGCUUACAGUCUACAGAACAGUGCUGGGGACACAGUCCUGAGUGUUGCCUUCUGAUCAACCACUUAACUGACUGCCUGGCCUCAGGAAAGCAGCUGAGCUUAUCUGUUCUUAGUCUCCUGGGAGAUUAAGAUGAGUGAUCUAGAGGAGGAAGAUGUUGAUGAAUUCAGCUCCAGUGGUUUUAAGUGCCCAACAUGCUUUGCAGUGCAAGGAAGGAAAUGCGAUACAGAACUCAAAUGGUGUGCAGCAGAUAAAAUAAAGUGUAUUGAAUUCUCUGGCAUCAUAAACACAGGUAUUCGUGACGUAGCCAUUGAAAUGAAGAGAUGCACACAAGCAGACCUAUGCAAAGAGACGAUAACUUCUUAGAUGGGUUUUCCAAUUGCUAACAAGAGUAGAAAUUGCAAAUCAGCCAUCAGAAAUGGGGCCAGAAUCAGACCCCCAUCUCCCAUCUUCUUUGUUCUUUUCCUGGGGAGGGUACUUCAUGGAGCUCUGGCAAGAGCCUAGCCACUUCCAUUUAUGAAUUAAACCUGAAUUUUUUUGUUAAUGUAUUCUUUCAUGAGUGUUAAUUUCUCCAUAGUUAUAUUCAGUUGUCCAUUUGUUUACUCAUUCAAUGAGUUUACUUGUUGUGUAUCCAGCCUUGCAUAAAGUGUGUUAGGGUCAAAGUGAAUCAGCUUUGGGUCCCUGCCUUUAAGGUCCCAAAGCAUUUAGAGAAUGAGGACGUGUGCAGUUAAAAUGCUGAGAAAGCAAUUUAAGAAGAACAUAAAAGAGCAGAAGCACUCUGCUUAAGGAGCCUGAGGGAUUGGUUUGGACAUAGGGUAAAAGUAGAAGACUGUGGGUUUGAUUAAGGAAAGAUUGGGAUUUUAGAUGGACUUUGAGGAGACCUUUACUAUAUGGCAGCAGAAAUAACAUGCACUGAGACAUGGACAUGGGGAGAUGGGUGGAGGCUAAGAUGCAGUAGCUGAAAUUAAUGGUAGGAGGAGUGGGGGAGAGGAAAAUGUCAGCAAGUAUAUGGGCCUGGCUGGAAGCAUCUUUCUGAGAGGGAUGGAAAGUGCUGCCCUGGAUGAACACAGUGGACUCACUGAGCUGAGGACAGGCCAGCUCUGUGAUGGAAAACAGUUUCCUUCAAUCCACCAGAGAGAUGAUCAAAAGCCAAGGUCCCUGGUUCUCACUGCUGACUACUUUUUGUUUUGUUUGUUUGUUUGUUUGUUUU